rnacentral:lncRNA from 1 species
GUGGCUACAUUAUUGGACUUCCGUGAUACCCAGCCCGGUCGGGUUGCGUCUCUGACGCGGCAGAAUGAUCAGUCUUCCACCGUUGAUCACCCAUUGGACAGAUGUCAAAACACUCCGAAGUCCGUCAUUCAUCCGUGGGCGCAGUUGUGAAAGCGGGAAGCUGAUGAUCCAACGGUGAUUUUGCGCGAAGGAAGGUCAAUCAUUCUUCCGCGCGAAAGAUUCACCGCUGUCCCCUCUGUCAAUACACACGUGGGCCCAUGGAAAUUCCUUCCAAUAUUCGGAUGGGCACGAUGAUCUAGAGAUGGCAAUAGAUAGAAUUUAGAUCGGAUAAUAUACUAUCCAUCUUCAAAUUCAAACUUAAUACUCUAUAUCCAAAUCCUAUCCGAUAUCCAAUCGGGUAAGAAAAGAGAUACCCAUCUCCAUACCCAUCGGAUUUG